GCAUGGGUGGUUCAGUGGUAGAGUUCUCUCCUGCCACGGGGGAGGCCCGGGUUCAAUUCCCGGCCCAUGCA
rnacentral:tRNA from 1 species